rnacentral:pre_miRNA from 1 species
UUAACUCAUAUUUGUAUGGAGUUGGAACGUUUGCCGCUAGAGGCGCUGUUCCAACUGCCUACAAAUUUGAGUUA